rnacentral:lncRNA from 1 species
GACAAAUUGGUACCAGGAGUGGGGUAUUCCUAUGACAACCUGACCAUGUUUGGGGAAAGACUUUGGAACUUUGGGCUAGAAGAUCCAUUCAGUGUUAAGAGCUCUGUGGGAUGCUGUACAGGAGCCUGGAAGAUAAUGUUGAGAACAGUGCAGAUGAUGGAGGCCUGGCUUGUGAAAUUUCAGAGGGAAUAUUAAAGACUGUUAUCAGGACCAUGUUUUGAUUGUGAAGAUUCUGUGGUUAUGGUUAGCUGGGGCUGAAGAAUCAGCUGUGUUUAACAAUAUAUCAGAACCAAUAAAGCAAAAACUUUGCAUUACUGGGACUAUUGAUGCUGGUUAGCUGGAGCUAAGAAAUUAGUGGUGAUUAA